rnacentral:lncRNA from 1 species
UCUUUACAGCUUACCCGACCAGUCGCCUCAUAAUGGGUACCUGUCUGAUGAGAACAGCCAGGACACCCAGGACAAUAAAUUGCUACCCCUAUGUGGCGGGGAUAGCGAAGAUGAUAGCUUUGACAUACUGCCAUCACCCCGGGUCUCACCCGACAUAACACAUAUCCCAAAUGUUGUUGUUAUAUCAGACUCGGAGACUACGCAAGG